rnacentral:rRNA from 1 species
UUGCGGCAGGCCUAACACAUGCAAGUCGAACGGUAACAGGAAGAAGCUUGCUUCUUUGCUGACGAGUGGCGGACGGGUGAGUAAUGUCUGGGAAACUGCCUGAUGGAGGGGGAUAACUACUGGAAACGGUAGCUAAUACCGCAUAACGUCGCAAGACCAAAGAGGGGGACCUUCGGGCCUCUUGCCAUCGGAUGUGCCCAGAUGGGAUUAGCUUGUUGGUGGGGUAACGGCUCACCAAGGCGACGAUCCCUAGCUGGUCUGAGAGGAUGACCAGCCACACUGGAACUGAGACACGGUCCAGACUCCUACGGGAGGCAGCAGUGGGGAAUAUUGCACAAUGGGCGCAAGCCUGAUGCAGCCAUGCCGCGUGUAUGAAGAAGGCCUUCGGGUUGUAAAGUACUUUCAGCGGGGAGGAAGGGAGUAAAGUUAAUACCUUUGCUCAUUGACGUUACCCGCAGAAGAAGCACCGGCUAACUCCGUGCCAGCAGCCGCGGUAAUACGGAGGGUGCACACGUUAAUCGGAAUUACUGGGCGUAAAGCGCACGCAGGCGGUUUGUUAAGUCACAUGUGAAAUCCCCGGGCUCAACCUGGGAACUGCAUCUGAUACUGGCAAGCUUGAGUCUCGUAGAGGGGGGUAGAAUUCCAGGUGUAGCGGUGAAAUGCGUAGAGAUCUGGAGGAAUACNGGUGGCGAAGGCGGCCCCCUGGACGAAGACUGACGCUCAGGUGCGGAAGCGUGGGGAGCAAACAGGAUUAGAUACCCUGGUAGUCCACGCCGUAAACGAUGUCGACUUGGAGGUUGUGCCCUUGAGGCGUGGCUUCCGGAGCUAACGCGUUAAGUCGACCGCCUGGGGAGUACGGCCGCAAGGUUAAAACUCAAAUGAAUUGACGGGGGCCCGCACAAGCGGUGGAGCAUGUGGUUUAAUUCGAUGCAACGCGAAGAACCUUACCUGGUCUUGACAUCCACGGAAGUUUUCAGAGAUGAGAAUGUGCCUUCGGGAACCGUGAGACAGGUGCUGCAUGGCUGUCGUCAGCUCGUGUUGUGAAAUGUUGGGUUAAGUCCCGCAACGAGCGCAACCCUUAUCCUUUGUUGCCAGCGGUCCGGCCGGGAACUCAAAGGAGACUGCCAGUGAUAAACUGGAGGAAGGUGGGGAUGACGUCAAGUCAUCAUGGCCCUUACGACCAGGGCUACACACGUGCUACAAUGGCGCAUACAAAGAGAAGCGACCUCGCGAGAGCAAGCGGACCUCAUAAAGUGCGUCGUAGUCCGGAUUGGAGUCUGCAACUCGACUCCAUGAAGUCGGAAUCGCUAGUAAUCGUGGAUCAGAAUGCCACGGUGAAUACGUUCCCGGGCCUUGUACACACCGCCCGUCACACCAUGGGAGUGGGUUGCAAAAGAAGUAGGUAGCUUAACCUUCGGGAGGGCGCUUACCACUUUGUGAUUCAUG